rnacentral:misc_RNA from 1 species
GAUGAAGAACGCAGCGAAAUGCGAUAAGUAAUGUGAAUUGCAGAAUUCAGUGAAUCAUCGAAUCUUUGAACGCACAUUGCGCCCGCCAGUAUUCUGGCGGGCAUGCCUGUUCGAGCGUCAUUUCAACCAUCAAGCCCCAGGCUUGUGUUGGGGACCUGCGGCUGCCGCAGGCCCUGAAAGCCAGUGGCGGGCUCGCUGUCACACCGGGCGUAGUAGAUUUUAUCUCGCUCAGGGCGUGCUGCGGGUUCCGGCCGUUAAAAAGCCUUUUUUACCCAAGGUUGACCUCGGAUCAGGUAGGAAGACCCGCUGAACUUAAGCAUAUCAAUAAGCGGAGGA